rnacentral:rRNA from 1 species
CAGCCGCCGCGGUAAUACGAAGGGGGCUAGCGUUGUUCGGAUUUACUGGGCGUAAAGCGCACGUAGGCGGAUAUUUAAGUCAGGGGUGAAAUCCUGGAGCUCAACUCCAGAACUGCCUUUGAUACUGGGUAUCUAGAGUCCGGAAGAGGUGAGUGGAACUCCUAGUGUAGAGGUGGAAUUCGUAGAUAUUAGGAAGAACACCAGUGGCGAAGGCGGCUCACUGGUCCGGUACUGACGCUGAGGUGCGAAAGCGUGGGGAGCAAACAGGAUUAGAUACCCCAGUAGUCCCUGUCUCUUAUAC